GCACCGCCGAACGAAUUAAGCGCCCCCGUACCACCCCGAGUCCCGCGGGCUCCGGCGCAGCGCCCCGCGCAGCGCCUCCGUCGGCCCCGGCGGGGCUCAGUGUGGGCCGCAGGAUAGGGAACGGAGGCUCCGUUCCGGCGGUAGCGUUGGUUCAGGGACUCACGGAGCGGGUUCGGCGCUGCUCGACCGCAUCACGGCGUUACCGCUGUGAGUAGUGGCAGAAAUGAGAAUCGGCCCCGAAACAAAGCGAGAUGAGCCCCGCGGCUUCCUCGCGCUGAAAGGAGAAGGGGAAAUCCAAUAGAUGGGAACUCCUGAGGAAGAGCGCAAUGUGGAGGAUGUGACUGAGCUCUGCAGUGCUAAGGGUAAGAGGAAAGCUCUGCAGCGAACCGGAGCAGCUCUCGUUUAAUGUAACACUGACAUCGCCUGCUGAAAUUUUAAUGCUCUGAGGUGUUCCUUAGGUCAAAGCUGAGUCUGCUUAGCUCUGCAUUCAGGCAUGAGAAUGUAGCAGAGAAGGAAAGAAAACCUUCGUCCUUUUGCAUCUCUGAGCAAAGGUCCAAUACGGACAGCAAUGUGUUUUUACAGCCUUUGAUGAUCUGGGCUUAAUAUUCGGUCGUAUAUCACAGCAGCAGAAUAAAGUACUGUGAAGAAAUUUAGGAUUUAAUGAUGUAUUUAAUUUUUUU